GGGUUGUGAGGUUAAGCGACUAAGCGUACACGGUGGAUGCCCUGGCAGUCAGAGGCGAUGAAGGACGUGCUAAUCUGCGAUAAGCGCCGGUAAGGUGAUAUGAACCGUUAUAACCGGCGAUUUCCGAAUGGGGAAACCCAGUGUGACUCGUCACACUAUCAUUAACUGAAUCCAUAGGUUAAUGAGGCGAACCGGGGGAACUGAAACAUCUAAGUACCCCGAGGAAAAGAAAUCAACCGAGAUUCCCCCAGUAGCGGCGAGCGAACGGGGAGGAGCCCAGAGCCUGAAUCAGCAUGUGUGUUAGUGGAAGCGUCUGGAAAGGCGCGCGAUACAGGGUGACAGCCCCGUACACAAAAGCGCAUGUGCUGUGAGCUCGAUGAGUAGGGCGGGACACGUGGUAUCCUGUCUGAAUAUGGGGGGACCAUCCUCCAAGGCUAAAUACUCCUGACUGACCGAUAGUGAACCAGUACCGUGAGGGAAAGGCGAAAAGAACCCCGGCGAGGGGAGUGAAAAAGAACCUGAAACCGUGUACGUACAAGCAGUGGGAGCACCCUUCGGGGUGUGACUGCGUACCUUUUGUAUAAUGGGUCAGCGACUUAUAUUCUGUAGCAAGGUUAACCGAAUAGGGGAGCCGGAGGGAAACCGAGUCUUAAUUGGGCGUUAAGUUGCAGGGUAUAGACCCGAAACCCGGUGAUCUAGCCAUGGGCAGGUUGAAGGUUGGGUAACACUAACUGGAGGACCGAACCGACUAAUGUUGAAAAAUUAGCGGAUGACCUGUGGCUGGGGGUGAAAGGCCAAUCAAACCGGGAGAUAGCUGGUUCUCCCCGAAAGCUAUUUAGGUAGCGCCUCGUGAAUUCAUCUCCGGGGGUAGAGCACUGUUUCGGCUAGGGGGCCAUCCCGGCUUACCAACCCGAUGCAAACUGCGAAUACCGGAGAAUGUUAUCACGGGAGACACACGGCGGGUGCUAACGUCCGUCGUGAAGAGGGAAACAACCCAGACCGCCAGCUAAGGUCCCAAAGUCAUGGUUAAGUGGGAAACGAUGUGGGAAGGCCCAGACAGCCAGGAUGUUGGCUUAGAAGCAGCCAUCAUUUAAAGAAAGCGUAAUAGCUCACUGGUCGAGUCGGCCUGCGCGGAAGAUGUAACGGGGCUAAACCAUGCACCGAAGCUGCGGCAGCGACGCUUAUGCGUUGUUGGGUAGGGGAGCGUUCUGUAAGCCUGUGAAGGUGGCCUGUGAGGGUUGCUGGAGGUAUCAGAAGUGCGAAUGCUGACAUAAGUAACGAUAAAGCGGGUGAAAAGCCCGCUCGCCGGAAGACCAAGGGUUCCUGUCCAACGUUAAUCGGGGCAGGGUGAGUCGACCCCUAAGGCGAGGCCGAAAGGCGUAGUCGAUGGGAAACGGGUUAAUAUUCCCGUACUUGGUGUUACUGCGAAGGGGGGACGGAGAAGGCUAUGUUGGCCGGGCGACGGUUGUCCCGGUUUAAGCGUGUAGGCUGGUUUUCCAGGCAAAUCCGGAAAAUCAAGGCUGAGGCGUGAUGACGAGGCACUACGGUGCUGAAGCAACAAAUGCCCUGCUUCCAGGAAAAGCCUCUAAGCAUCAGGUAACAUCAAAUCGUACCCCAAACCGACACAGGUGGUCAGGUAGAGAAUACCAAGGCGCUUGAGAGAACUCGGGUGAAGGAACUAGGCAAAAUGGUGCCGUAACUUCGGGAGAAGGCACGCUGACACGUAGGUGAAGUGAUUUACUCAUGGAGCUGAAGUCAGUCGAAGAUACCAGCUGGCUGCAACUGUUUAUUAAAAACACAGCACUGUGCAAACACGAAAGUGGACGUAUACGGUGUGACGCCUGCCCGGUGCCGGAAGGUUAAUUGAUGGGGUCAGCGCAAGCGAAGCUCCUGAUCGAAGCCCCGGUAAACGGCGGCCGUAACUAUAACGGUCCUAAGGUAGCGAAAUUCCUUGUCGGGUAAGUUCCGACCUGCACGAAUGGCGUAAUGAUGGCCAGGCUGUCUCCACCCGAGACUCAGUGAAAUUGAACUCGCUGUGAAGAUGCAGUGUACCCGCGGCAAGACGGAAAGACCCCGUGAACCUUUACUAUAGCUUGACACUGAACAUUGAGCCUUGAUGUGUAGGAUAGGUGGGAGGCUUUGAAGCGUGGACGCCAGUCUGCGUGGAGCCGACCUUGAAAUACCACCCUUUAAUGUUUGAUGUUCUAACGUGGACCCGUAAUCCGGGUUGCGGACAGUGUCUGGUGGGUAGUUUGACUGGGGCGGUCUCCUCCUAAAGAGUAACGGAGGAGCACGAAGGUUGGCUAAUCCUGGUCGGACAUCAGGAGGUUAGUGCAAUGGCAUAAGCCAGCUUGACUGCGAGCGUGACGGCGCGAGCAGGUGCGAAAGCAGGUCAUAGUGAUCCGGUGGUUCUGAAUGGAAGGGCCAUCGCUCAACGGAUAAAAGGUACUCCGGGGAUAACAGGCUGAUACCGCCCAAGAGUUCAUAUCGACGGCGGUGUUUGGCACCUCGAUGUCGGCUCAUCACAUCCUGGGGCUGAAGUAGGUCCCAAGGGUAUGGCUGUUCGCCAUUUAAAGUGGUACGCGAGCUGGGUUUAGAACGUCGUGAGACAGUUCGGUCCCUAUCUGCCGUGGGCGCUGGAGAACUGAGGGGGGCUGCUCCUAGUACGAGAGGACCGGAGUGGACGCAUCACUGGUGUUCGGGUUGUCAUGCCAAUGGCACUGCCCGGUAGCUAAAUGCGGAAGAGAUAAGUGCUGAAAGCAUCUAAGCACGAAACUUGCCCCGA
rnacentral:rRNA from 1 species